GACGAACGCUGGCGGCGUGCUUAACACAUGCAAGUCGAGCGGAAAGGCCCACUUGUGGGUACUCGAGCGGCGAACGGGUGAGUAACACGUGAGUAAUCUGCCCUUCACUUCAGGAUAGCUCCCGGAAACGGGGAUUAAUACUGGAUAUUCAUGGCUCUGCGCAUGUGGGGUUAUGGAAAGAUUUUUUGGUGGGGGAUGUGCUCGCGGCCUAUCAGCUUGAUGGUGGGGUAAUGGCCUACCAUGGCUUCGACGGGUAGCCGGCCUGAGAGGGUGACCGGUCACACUGGGACUGAGACACGGCCCAGACUCCUACGGGAGGCAGCAGUGGGGAAUAUUGGACAAUGGGCGGAAGCCUGAUCCAGCAACGCCGCGUGAGGGAUGACGGCCUUCGGGUUGUAAACCUCUUUCAGCACAGACGAAGCGCAAGUGACGGUAUGUGCAGAAGAAGGACCGGCCAACUACGUGCCAGCAGCCGCAGUAAAAC
rnacentral:rRNA from 1 species